rnacentral:rRNA from 1 species
AUGGCGCCGUGGUCUGAACUCCCAGAGGACCUCCUAGCCCUGGUCUUUGCGCGCAUCUUUUUCCCCGUCGACCGUGCUCGCUUUCAGGCCGUGUGCCGUUCUUGGCGCUCUGCAGCGCCCGCCCCUGCGCGGCAGCUUCCGUGGAUCGUGUUCCCGAAUGGCGGGGUCAUGACCCCCUUUGACCGUGUUGUGCAUCGCAUCGGCUCCUACCCCAAAGCCAUAACGACCGUGCUUGGCACCAGCUUGUCUCCUUGCCCAAGACGACGACAUGCAUUGGCUCUACCGAUGGUUGGAUCGCCAUCGACGACCGUGUGGGCAAGAUGCAUAGAAACUACUUGUUGCACAACAUGUUUUCUGGCACGACAUUGUCUCUCCCCGAGCUGGACGCUGCCAUCGGCCAUGUUUCCAAGCUUUUCAACAUACGCAAGUUGCCCCAUCAUCUUAACCCGGGUUGGGAAGGGCGUGUGGUUGCCCGAGUCUUAUGCAGCUCCCCUCGUCAGCAUCAUCGAUGUUGCUUUUCUUGGAGACAGGCUUUACGGGGUCACGAAGGAUGAGGAUCUCGUCUUCCUUGACAUCGCCUUCAAUGAUAGCGGCGUACCCAUGGUUACCGGUGGCAAGUGUGUCAUCGGAGAAGGUUUUGACUAUGAUGAUUACGGCGACCAUGACACAGAGGAUGAUGACUUGACCAAGAUGAGGAAGAAGGAUAUGGUUCCUCAAGGAUUCCGAUAUAUUAUUGUAGACGAGACCAUGCAGCAUGACAUCAAAACCAUGUGGUACCUGAUCGAGUCGCGUGGGAAGCUGCUCAUGGUUAGGCGACAAGUGGUAUCGCCCUUUGAGUUCACUCACAUGAUAGAGGUUUUUGAGGCCGACAUGAGUGCAGCCAUGUGGGUGCCGGUGGAGGCGGGGCUAGAGGACCAGGCGCUUUUCAUCAGCAGACGAUUCAGCAAGUCUGUCUCUGCUGCUUUCAGCACGGCGAUACAAAAAGAUGCUAUUUAUUUUGCUGACACGGAAGAUGUAUUCGACAUGAGAUCCCAAACAGUGAGUGCCCAAGGGGAUGAUUUCGAUAGCUACAACGCAUGCCUAAGUCUUGAAUAUCUUGGUCAAGAAUUUUGCCUUAGGGCAAUAUGUGCUUUCACGCCCUCUGAUUGCGACUGCCGACGGUCGCGCGCUGGUGAAUGGCAGCGUGCGCGGAGGUGGCGUGCUGUGACGUCGUGCGUGCGGCGAGCGUGGAGGCGCUGCGCGGUGGUGCAGAGCCCGCGGAGGGCGACACGGUGCAGUGGCGCGGAGGUGCUGCACGGCAGCAUGGAAACCACGGCGGCCGAUGACCGUGUUGGUGCAGUCACGCGUUGA